UCUCGCGACUGAUGAUUUGCGUCUCUUG
rnacentral:sRNA from 1 species